UCGAUUCUAGAGUAAAUGCAUUCGUUCCACGUAAGGGUGGAGCAACCAUUGACUAAGAGGCUCCCCGCAGCUUACAAAACAACCUGAAUUUCCAUUUUCAGUGAAAAAAGGGAAGCUGAAUACAUGCAACAAUUCAUGCACUGACUGUCUAACAAGAGAAGAACCUGUGACCCUGCUCCUUCGGCCCCAUCCAGUCACGAUAUCUAUCCGGCUAGGGCUAACCCCAGAUAUCAGCAUCUGUUUGCGAAACCAAGCUAGUGUCCUAGACAAUGCUGUUACCGCUGUUCCAUCUGACAUGACAUGAAGAUUAAUAAGCCAGUAACAACAGCUUUUCUCCUUCACAGCAUCUGGAUAUACAUUUCUUUGCGCAGCCACUUCCCAAACCGAACCGGCCUCCUCCUUGAGCCCAGAUUUGUGAAGAAAAUCCACCACUGCAUCUACAAGCCCUCGUUUUCCCUCUCUAUCCUCUGAAUGCAUCAGGUCCAAGAAUUUGCUUGCAUGAUCCCUCACAUUUUGACCAUCGGGCCCUGCUGCUGGCAUUGACUGUAAAAAUGCAUGAGCAGGAUGGCCACUGACUUCCAUUAGCUCACAACAAAAUCCCAUAUCAUACUGUGAUUGUGCAUCUGUACAACAGCUGAGAAGCAAAGUAUAUGUCUGCAAAGAAGGCCUUAGGCCGAGAGCUACCAUGCUCUGGAGAAGAUUAUACGCAUCUGGCAAUCGAUGCACCCUAAGAAAUGCACUGAGAAGUGAAUUGCAAGUUGGUACAUUCGGAAGCAGACCAGCUCUGAGCAUUGCUCCGUACCAUUCCCAAGCCUUCUCAACAUUACCAGCCUUUCCCCAUAAGUCUACCAGAAGACCAUAAACAGGUUCGUCUGGAACCCAAUUCCUCUGCUUCAUCUCAACAAAGACUGCUUCUGCUUCCUCAAGAUACCCACAGUGACCAAGCACCUCCAUAACAAUGCUAUAUGUAACUUUGUCAGGUUUAAAUCCUGCAUUCUGCAUGUCACGAUAUAGUUUCAAUGCUGUCUCAUAAUUCCUUGCCUUUGCUUGCAAAGCAAUCAUGAUAUUGUAGGUGACAAUAUUAGGAACACAACCCUGAUCAACCAUUUCACAAAAUAGUCUGUCAGCAGCAGCUAAAUUACCAGAUUUUCCCAAACAGUUAAUCAUUACACUGUAAGUAAACGUGUCAGGAGAAAGGCCAACUUGUUGCAUUCUCUCAUACAUGGACAUGGCCACAUCAAGAAAUCCAGCUUUUGCAUGGAUAUCGAUAAGCGUACAGUAAGUGACACGAUCAGGCUCACACCGCUUCUCCUGCAUUUGUUUGAAGACACUCAGUGCUUCCUUUAGGUAGUUUGCACGGCCAUAACUGUGAAUUAGACGAUUAUAUGUUACAACAUUAGGCUGACAUCCAUCCUUGACCAUCUGUUCCAGCAAUUUGUUUAUUGCACCAAACUCUCUUGCACGCCCCAGAAUACCAACCAUGGUGGUGUAAGUAUGCCCAUCAUGCCGGAAGUCCGGUUGUUGCUUUAACCAGUAAAAGAAAUUUAGAGCAACUGAAUGGUCUUCAAGUUGCUUUAGGACUUGAUUACCUUGAUAUGCAUCUACCAAAAAAUUCAGGUCAUAAAGAGCCUCCUCUGUAGCAGGACCCCACUUUAACUGUUGCAGUAUAUCUUUAACGACUUCCACACCACGUCGGCCUGUCUUUGUAUAAUGGGGUUUUGUUGAAGCAAUUCCUGCUGAUGUCUUCAGAUCCCUGUGGUGUUUAUUGAAGCUUUCGUUGAAAGAACCCAACAUCUGUGAGUUUGAAGUUGGCCUGCUGGAAUCAAAUUUUGUGACAAAUCGAUUUGAAUAUGAAUAUGUUCUCGUCCUCUGUGGUGGUAAGGGUCUGCUGUCAUGAUUAUUGAAAGGAACAUUGGGAGCUACUUCUGACUUGUCGGUUAUUGAAGAAGCAACAUGCUUAAAACCUUUACUUAUCUUUGACUUAUCACCUUUCCCCUUUGAACCAUGAUAACUACUUGUAUUGUUUGAUGGCCCCGGUUGAGUAGAAACAGGUGGUUUGGGAUGAACACCGGUAAAGUCCUCCUUUCUAAAUUGUUUGACAUUGGAAGAUUUGAUGUUGCGAAUGGCAGAGAUGGGUUCAACCAUACAAUUUUUAGAGUAGCUUAGUAUCCCCAUCCCGUCUGAUAAAGGAAGCUUACUAUGAACUAAAUCAGAAAUGAAAUUGACAGCCGCAAUACCAGCCCGAUAAAACUGAUCACUAUCAAGAGGCGGUGAGUGUGCAACAUGAUUUUGAAAAUCAUCAACCACACAAGCAUAUUUUACAGAGUCUGAUUUACUUGAUGGGGGCGAAGUAGAGCUAACUUGUUGUACACUGCCAGCAGCCUGAACCUUGUGAGAACCUGUUCCACUUGCCAGGUUUCCUUCUACUUGAGAUGGAGUAUUGGCUACUAUGUAGGCUGGGUUUGGCGCAAGUAAACCUUCUUUCUUCCUAUGNNNNNNNNNNNNNNNNNNNNNNNNNNNNNNNNAUGUCUUCAGAUCCCUGUGGUGUUUAUUGAAGUUUUCGUUGAAAGAACCCAACAUCUGUGAGUUUGAAGUUGGCCUGCUGGAAUCAAAUUUUGUGACAAAUCGAUUUGAAUAUGAAUAUGUUCUCGUCCUCUGUGGUGGUAAGGGUCUGCUGUCAUGAUUAUUGAAAGGAACAUUGGGAGCUACUUCUGACUUGUCGGUUAUUGAAGAAGCAACAUGCUUAAAACCUUUACUUAUCUUUGACUUAUCACCUUUCCCCUUUGAACCAUGAUAACUACUUGUAUUGUUUGAUGGCCCCGGUUGAGUAGAAACAGGUGGUUUGGGAUGAACACCGGUAAAGUCCUCCUUUCUAAAUUGUUUGACAUUGGAAGAUUUGAUGUUGCGAAUGGCAGAGAUGGGUUCAACCAUACAAUUUUUAGAGUAGCUUAGUAUCCCCAUCCCGUCUGAUAAAGGAAGCUUACUAUGAACUAAAUCAGAAAUGAAAUUGACAGCCGCAAUACCAGCCCGAUAAAACUGAUCACUAUCAAGAGGCGGUGAGUGUGCAACAUGAUUUUGAAAAUCAUCAACCACACAAGCAUAUUUUACAGAGUCUGAUUUACUUGAUGGGGGCGAAGUAGAGCUAACUUGUUGUACACUGCCAGCAGCCUGAACCUUGUGAGAACCUGUUCCACUUGCCGGGUUUCCUUCUACUUGAGAUGGAGUAUUGGCUACUAUGUAGGCUGGGUUUGGCGCAAGUAAACCUUCUUUCUUCCUAUGCUGUCUUAUUGACACACAUGUUUCGUCCUCGUGGCACGUGCAUGAAUUGGCAUCUGGUGCAUUACAUCUUGUACCACCAAGGAAGAAGCUCCUAGCAGUGCUAGAAAGGGUAUUGAUUGGCUUUGAUCGUAACAUAUUCUGCUUAGAAAAUCAGAAAAAUGAACUGAAAUAGGCGAGUGACAUUAACUGAAAGAUACAAGCAUUAUAGCAACAAUAUAGAGUUGUCUGAAACAUGUUGAAACAGUAGACGUAAAACAAAUUCUAGACAUUGGUACCCUAGAUCAUAAGGAUUAUAAUGAGUUGAAAAUAAAUAAGAAAAUUUUGGCGCAAACGCAUCUCAUCCGGAAAGCUACAAGGAGCAAGUAUAAUAAUAAAACAGAGCAAAACAUGAAACUGUCGAUGUAUCAUGACUUAGUUGGUUUUGGAAGUUGGAUUAAAAAUUGAUAACCCUUUGUAGAGUGCAAAUGAAGAGAGAGGGAGUAGAAAAUAAUAAAACGAAAUAGAAGCAAUGUAGGUUGUGAAAUAGAGAUGAAUAAGAAGGAAUGAAGAAAGAUACCUGCAUCGUUCAGUAGGUUUGUGGAAGCAUAGAAGGAUCGAGAGGGUGGCGGCUGGUUUGAGUUUAGAGAGACUCUUUCCAAAUAAUUUGGGGGUUUGCAAUAGCAGCUAACCCUCACUCACUUUUCUCUCUCUUUUAUUAUUACAUUAUUAUUUUUGUAUGUUUUUAUUACAGGAUGCGUGUCAUCAACUUGGGCCUCACGUAUACUUUUUCCUUAACGUAGUGUUUGGUUCGAUGGAAACUAGAAGGAUCAUACUUUUUCCCAUCGUUUGCUUCCUUUUUUUUAAUGCACCAACCAAAACUUCAAAUCCGUGCUUCAAGAUAAAAAAUAUAUAUAUUUACAAAUAUUGGAUUUAAAUGGAAAUUUUUACAAAAAUAACCCACUUUUUUAAGAAAAUUUCCAAAAUAUCAUUGGUUUCAAAAAAAUUCUCAAACUACCUCACUUUUAGGAGGAGGAGUCAAUUGAAUUGGAGACUUCUCUUAAAAUUUGAAUGGAGGUGUCAAUUGGAUUGGUUAGGGCAGGUGCCCUAGCCAAUCCAAUUGGCGCCCCUGUGUAGGGCUUAAGAGGAGGCGUCAAUUCAAUUGUAGACUCCUCCUAAAAUGCAAUUUUUGUGUUAUAAAUAGAUGCGUUGUGUGAGUAAUUGUUCCACAUCUCAUACAAUCAUUUGGCAAUCAUGUUUAGUGUUCGUCGCCGAUACGGUAAGGUGAUUUAUGCGAGAGACGAACCUCAGAUGCUGAUGUUGUUCUGGAACAUCACUACGUUCGAUCAACUGAAGAGGGAGCUGGUUUGUUGGUUAGAUGGGAAAAUACCAGAAGGGGAAAAAAUUAGAAGUAUUGAGAGACUUGACAGUAUCUUUGGUUGGGUGCGAAUGAAGACUGAUAAGGAUGCUAGGGAAAUGAUGUUCGGUCGAGACGACAUCAAUUUGAUUGUUGUAAUCAGUUAGAAAUAUUUCUGUUUUCAGAUAGCUUAUUUUGUACUGAUGUUUGUUGUGAACCUCGUUGUAACAAAAACUUAAUGAUAUAUAAUGAUUGAAGGUUACAGAAAUACAAUGUUACAAAAAGCUUAAGACCUAGAUGAUGCUCCUCGAUUGGGACAGUUGUUCUUGUUGUGUCCUGGUUGACGACAGAUACUACAUAAUCUUAUCAUUUUAUCUGUGGAAUCCAUCUCUGUUCUGAUACGUGUGCUGUUUGGCCUUCCUUUUUUCUUUCUACGCAUCUCGUCAUUGUGCCAAACAAUAUCACCUUCAUAUGGAGGCCAGUAAUCCUCCAUUGGUAGUACCGAGAAGCUUUGAUUAUAUACAUUCAUGACGGUGUCGGCCUUGUACACAUCAGAUAAAUGGUUGUAAGCAUCUUGACGAGUAUAAGCGCAUGCUGCAAUGACAUGGGAGCAAGGUAUGCGGAAGGCCUGGAAUUUUCCACAAUCGCACCAACUUCUGUUUAGUCUAACAGCGUAGGCUAAAUUUGGUCUCCCCUCGUUGUGGUCCACUGUUUCCUGGACGCUGAAAUUUUUCCUAUGACGGUCAAAGACUGUUACAGCGUGUGUGCUAGCUUUGAUGCUCUCCUCUUUCAUGACCUCCAUGCAACACUCACUGAAUACUUGCCCGGACAUUAACACCGCACUCCAUCUUUCACCUCUGGUUGCGAACGUAGAAGCCAACCUAUAAUAGGUUGAUCUUACCAAGGCGGUUAUCGGCAUAUUUAGAAUUCCUUUGAAUACCCUGUUCAUGCAUUCCACAAGGUUUGUUGUCAUGUGGCCCAUCGACAACCUCCGUCAGAUGCCCUUGUCCACUGCUCUACUAGUAUGUUAUUUAGCCAUAUCCCUGCGUCUUCAUUAGACAGUCUAAUUUCAUCACGAUAAUAUUGAAAUGACAGAUGAGUUAGAGCAUACCCAGCAUUCACCACCUUCUUGCGAAGAUUCUUAUCUUUUAUAGCUCGCAUGAAGUUUUGUGCAAUGUGUCUGAUGCAAUAGACAUGGGUAGAAGGAGGAUCAUGCCAUCCUUUGUCAUGGUUGUUGUAGGCACUCUCAAUGGCAGCAUGUCUAUCAGAAAUCAAACAGAGAUUGGCUUAUGGAGCCACAUGCGUUCUGAGAUGUCGAAGAAAGAAACCCCAUCCAUCAGUCGUUUCACCUUCAACAAGAGCAAAGGCAAUGGGAAAGACAUUGUUGUUGUCGUCUUGUGCAACCGCCAUGAGCAAAGUACCCUUGUAUUUUCCGUAUAACCAAGUGCCAUCAAUUUGAAUAAUAGGUUUGCAGAAUGCGAAACCUUUGAUGCACGGGUCAAAUGCCCAAAAGAGAUGGUGAAAGAUUUUAUUACCUGUAGCACAGGUUCCGUCUGGCAUCAUCGCUGGCAAUGUCUCCAUAAUUGCCACAGUUCUUGGGACAUAUGUUUUUAGUGCCCAUAAAAACCGUGACAAUUCCUUGUAUGAAUCCUCCCAGUUGCCGAAAACUUGUUCAACAACAUUUGUCAUUGCAAUCCAGGCUUUCUUGUAAGAUGGAGUAUAAUUAUAUGUUGUUCUGAUAUGGGAUAUAAUUAUACUCACCUUCACUGAUGGGUCUUUAUUAACCAACGGCAGAAUGUCUUGACAUAUCAACGUUGCGCUUAGUUUACGGUGAUCUUGUUCAAUGUUAGUUGCAAUGCAACUGUGAGGUGGGUCUAUUGAAGCGAUCUCCCAAGAGUCGUUUUUCUUCUUGUAAGACGCAUCCAAACGAAACUUACAAAGCAUGUUACGACAUUUGAUAACAUACCUUCUAGAAUCAAUGCGUUUCACUGUAAAAUCAGCAAAGUUGUUCAUGUGGAAUUUUUUGAUAGCCAUAACACAUUCUUCUUUGGUACGAAACAUGUCUCCCACCUUUAAUUCUCCUUCUGAUCUCGGAUACGGAUUAUAGAAAAUACUGUUGGAUGUUUCAUCGUCGUGCAGAUCCAUAUUUGUCAUAUCUUGAGGCGGGUUGUAGAUAUGACUAUGAGGUAUUGGUGGUGGUUGAUCAUCAUCUUCAUCGUCGUUGUUCAGCAUGUGAUCAACCUGUAUCUCGGUGUCCUCUUCUUCUUCAUCAACGACGUCCACUUCUGCUUCUGCUUCUGGGUUGACGUCAUCUAACCAUUGUGGAUAAAAUUCACCAGAUUCAUCCUGACUGGUUAGUUGAGACUGUUGAGAUGGUAUACAUGGUUGAAGAGUAAUGUACAACUCAAUACAGUUGCAGCCUGAAUGUUCAUGACUAACAAACAUGUAUUCAACAUCUUCAUCGUCUCGUACCUUAAGGGGGAAAUACUUGCAUUGACUAUUCUAAAAAAAUAUUGGAUUUUGAUAUGUGAUCUUUGACACAAUACCCGAUCCUAUACAGGAUUGUAUUCUUUUUUUCAAAUGCAAGAAGGUUGCAUUUCUCUUGAUCGUGAGUCUAAUGGUAUCGGUGUUUCGAAAACAAAAACCAUAUAGCUCAGACUCGUAUGUUUCACCGUUGCAGUGAACGUUGACACUGUAUAAUGAUGAAGAUGACAUUGUGCAGAUGAAAACUAUUUUCUUACUGCAGAUGAAUGUGAGUGAAGUGUCUUGGAUGUUGAUAGUAAGACACUUAAAUAGAGGAGUGAAGUGUCUCACAUGCUAGCUAGUUCGAAGUGAUGUGUCGCACAUGCAAGCUACUCCGAAAUGAUGUGUCAACCAUGCAAGCUACUAAGAAGUGACAUGUUCAGCAUGCAAGAGACAAGACAGCCACGUGUCAGACAUGCAGACACACACUCCAAAUGAAUUGGCGCCCCCACUCAUUCCUUGCACAUGGGCGCCAAUUCAAGUGGAGACACCAUGCAUUCAGACCUCGAAACCAAGCAAUCAGACCUAGGUCUUGCAUGCAUGUCCCUAUGGAGGCGCCAAUUUGAAUGGCGACCCCUCUUAAAGGUUGUACAUGGUCGCCAAUUCAAGUGGAGACACCAUGCAAGCACAACUUUUCAUGCUCCCAUCCAUUUGCCUAUAAAUACAUCCACUCCAUCAACACUUCUUCCACACCAUCACUCUCACUACUUCUUCUACAAUACUUCUUCUACAAUUUCAUCUGCAACAACUUCUUGUAGUUUCAUCUACACCAACCCCCCGACAAAAUGUCUAUCCUCACAAUGGGCGAAUCACAUAGAGGAACGGUUGCAAACAUCGCAACAUAUGUAAGUUUUUUCUUUUGUUAACUUUUUAUCUUUCAUCUUCACCAACCCCCUUUUAUUUUGACAUACCAACUUAGUCAAGUUUUUUAUUCUUUCUUUUAUAGGAUGUAUCAAGGUUCCGAACUCGGGUCCACGAAUAUGUCCAUAUGGACCCGAUGAUUCAACCUUAUGUUGAACUCGCCGGUUUUGGUCAUAUAAGCAAGAUUUUGUCUUGGUCCAUAGAUAACAAAUUCAUUCUAGCUUUAUGUGAAAGAUGGAGACCAGAGACACACACAUUUUGGUUCCCAACCGGUGAGUGUACCGUGACGUUAGAAGACGUCUACAUGCUUUUGGGACUACCCAUUGAAGGUAAGGCUGUUAAUGGUAAAACCAACUAUGCAAAUUCAAUUUGCAUGGAUCUCUUGGAGACUGAUUUGUUAGAUGAUAACGCAAGAGGUCAAGGUAUACUACUUUCACGCCUUAAGUCGUACUAUAAUAGUUUAUACUUAGAUGAGCAUUCUACCGAAGAUGCUCGAAUAAUAAAAACUAGGUGUUACAUUAUGCUGUUAAUUGGCUCGUUUUUAUUUCCCGAAGGUAGUGGUUCUAGCAUGCAUAUUAUGUAUUUACCUUUACUUAGGCAUGUAGAUAGAAUAGGAAGUUACAGUUGGGGAUCUGCUUGUCUAGCCUAUCUCUAUAGCUCCUUGUGCAAAAACUCACAUAAAGACACAUCUACAUUUUCUGGAUGUGUUGUUUUGCUACAAGCAUGGGGUUGGUCAAGACUACUGUCCCUAGCACCCGUCAACAACAACCCUUUCACAUUUCCGUAUGCACAAAAGUAAGUUGUUUAAAUUGUUAUAUCUUUACUUACUUCUUUAAAGAUUAUUACCUCUAACUAAUAUUUUUGACUUUUUCGUGUAAAUGGUCUGCACAUGGUAUGAGUUACAACAGAUGUCCAAGACACUGUAUUACUCAGUAUCGCAACAUGUUGGAUCACCUUCGACCGACAGACGUAAGGAAAAUAACUUAAUUAUUUCGUUAUAUUUUGUUAACUUCUUCUACCUUGACUAUAAUCCAAUAUUCUUUUACAUUUCAGUUUAUUUGGUGUCCAUACCUUAAUUUGGAUCAUGACCAUCAAGUCAACGUUGAAGACGCGGCCGUAUGGACUGCAUGCACACCGAUAAUAUAGUUCACAACUGUGGAGAUGCACAACAGUGAUCGUGUGAAGCUGCAGUUCGGUAUGCCCCAAAAUAUCCCAGAUGCCCUAGCUAGCCUAGGAGAAUGGCGUCUGCGCAAAGUUAACGACCAAUGGAACUUCAAUCCAUGGCAAAGCUUCGCAAUAUCGGAUUGUCGCAAAUGAAAGCACCGUCAUGACCAUGUGUUAACUGACGCAGUCAUGCCAACUGAAGAAAAACCAAGUCGUACUUAUAUGGCUUGGUACAGAUCGGUUGGUUGUCAGUUCAUCGCCGAGGAUAUGUACUUGUACGACCCACGCCAGAUGACUUACACACCUGACACCUCAACAUCAAACCCCUAACAAUAGUGUCAGACCGGAUACACACAACCCUUUAUCCGUCAAACGUUCCGUUCAACCAACACACAAACAUACAACCAAAACAUUCCAUACACCCAACCCCAAUACCAAGAGCAUACCCCAUACCUACACCAACAAAUUGACCAUCAACCUGAGACUCAACAUCGCUUCGCACCCACCCCAUCACCCUACCAAAGUCGCCUAAGCCAGAACACCCUUGCUAGUAAGUUGUGGUUGGCGGGGAGGAGGAUGGCAUGCCAAGAAGCCCAAACCUCACAAAACUAAAACAUCCAACAACCCUAUCUCUACCAAACACCCCAACAACCUUUCCAACCUUUCCUCGAUGCAUCGUUCACAAAACCAAAACAUCCAACAACCUUUCCCUUCAACCGUCCCGGUUGCCCAUCAAUGAGUCAACCACAUCCCAACUUCUCUGGCAUGGGUCAUGAGCUCAGCUACGGUGGUGCACCAUCGAUGCAUACUGAAGACUAUGCCGACUUGUCUGACUACCUCAACAGACCUUCUUCUGGCUAGAUCUUCUUUGAUCUUCUGGCUAGAUCUUCUUUGUUUCGAUUCUCUGGCCGAAUCUAUUCUCUUCGAUUCUCUGGCUGAAUCGACUUCGACCUUCUGGCUAGAUCUUCUUCGAUCUUCUGGCUAGAUCUACUUUGUUUCGAUUCUCUAGCUGAAUCUAUUCUCUUUGAUUCACUGGCUGAAUCUAUUUCCGGUCUUCGGGCUAGACCUGACUUCGAUCUUCUGGCUAGAUCUACUUCGUUUUGAUGAUAAAUUCCCAUCAUCAGGAUCUCGCAUCUGAGGCAUGCGCUGGUUGACACUCUUUCAAAAUCUACACCCAGUCUUCAUGUUAGGUAUGCAGCUUCGAGAAUAUUCCACUUUUUGGGCUUCAUGCAUAUUCUUCAGGCUAGAACAUGCUGUAACGACCCUUCAAUUAGACUUUUGUUUUUAAAUUGCGAUCUGCGGGCUGGAUCCUCUUGUAGAUUGAUUUUCUGUUGAAUUGUCAAUUUACUCCUCUAGCUGGUUUGCUGGGGAAAUAACGCUUGUAGGCGAUUCUCUGGCUGAAUCUUCAAAUUGAACCUCAGGCUGGCUCAUUGGAAAACGAUUCUCAGGCUGAAUCUUCGAAAUGACCCUCAUGCUGGCAUCACACACACUUGAUUCCUCUGGCCUGAAUCUCAUGACUCUUGGUGGUAAAGCAAUUCUGCGGUCUGCUUGAAGACUUGUUUAUCAGCUUAUGUGUAUGCUGGAUAUUGCAUGGCAAAUGCAAAUGUUAUGCAUGGUGUAAAAAGAAAUCUGCUUGGGGAAGCAAGCUCCGGUAGGGAACGGAUCGCUGUAUCAAUCCUUGAAUGCGCUGUGGGGAACGAUCCAUCUGCCGGGACCGGGGAGCCACCGAAAAUAAAUCGGCUUUUUUCUGGAAAGUUGACCUUGCUGGGGAAGUAUCAACUAUGGAAACUUUGUUUGGCGAGGUUCUGUAAGGAGAGUCUGUGGGGAAAGCACUUCCUGGGGAAAUGUCGUAGGAAUCGACCUUUGCUGGGGAUGUGAACUUGCUAAUCGUCCUCAGGCGGAGGAUCAAAACAAAUCUGUUAAAAAUAAAUCUGCUGGGGAAUGAGAUGAACACUGGGGACACCACCCUCUUGUUUUUUGGGUAUGCAACUACUCCGUUGUUGCUGGGGAUACAAGGUGCAACUCUACUGGGGGGACAUGUUCUGUUGAGGAGAGACUUUGUCAACCGCUUGGGGAUGAGGAUUCAUGACUUGGCAUCCGGUUCCUGUGACCUGCAAACACACACGUAUGUCCUGGGGGAAUUGCUCGGUUUGAAUUCACCAUCCGGGAUUAAGCACAUUCAAAGCAAUUUUAAGUGUUUUCCUGUGCAAAUCAUUUGCAAAAGCCGCCAUUAUGUUCAGAUGCAAUAUGUUUCAUCAAGAAUUCAGACAUCUUUUGCAAACAAACUGAUAAAUGAAAAAUAAAGAGGCUAUUUAGCUGAAUUAUUCGACUUUUAUUGGUUGAAAAUUUUGUGCCAGGAAUAGGCGAGUACAUCAGGAAGCUGAUCCCUGAAAAGAGGCGAUCACUAUAAAUUGAACAAAAGAAAACUAUCCUAAUGGCAAUGUGGAUACGGGGUCCCACUGAGUUUCGACUCUGCUAUGGCUCGUAUGACCUCAAGACGCUCUACUCAUCUUGCUUUCUGAAGUGGAUGAUUAGUCGAUCUUUAACCUUUCUAUCCUAAUGGCAAUGUGGAUACGGGGUCCCACUGAGUUUCGACUCUGCUAUGGCUCGUAUGACCUCAAGACGCUCUACUCAUCUUGCUUUCUGAAGUGGAUGAUUAGUCGAUCUUUAACCUUCGGGGAUUACCGGCUUGAAUGAAACGGUGAUAUAACAGGGAUGAACUUAGAUCUCAGUCAUUCGCUUAUUCCAUAACUUUUGCCUGGAUCGCCCUUUUAGGUUUUCAAUCCACCGGGAUACCCUUUUUUGCCUGAGCCGCCCUCUCGGGUUUUCGACUCACCGGGUGUACAUUUUUUAUUUUUUAUAUCCCUAAUUUUUGCCCGAACCUUUUUUUUUUUGGUUCGUCAGGAUGCCCUUUUUUGCCUGGACUCUUUUUCUUUUGUCCAGCGGGUCAAUUAUGCGAAGUAUUUUUUAACUGUGUCUGAGUUGACAAGGGAUGGGAAGUCUUCGCCAUCCAUGGUUGUUAGCAUCAAAGCUCCGCCAGAGAAAACCCUUUUAACCACGUAUGGACCCUCAUAGUUCGGUGUCCAUUUGCCCCUGCGAUCUGUGUUGGGAGGAAGAAUUCUUUUGAGUACCAAUUCACCAACUUGAUACUCCCGAGGGCGCACUUUCUGAUCGAACGCUCUCUACGUCCGUCUCUGAUAUAGCUGGCCAUGGAAUAUAGCUGCUAGUCUCUUUUCCUCAACUAGGCUUAGCCGAUUGUAUCGAGAACGGACCCAUUCUGCUUCGUCCGGCUUCAUUGUUGGUGCAGGGAAAAGUUAUUCUGGCACAAAAUGGCAUAUGAACCCCCUCCGAUGUGAUCAACACUGCACCAACUCCGCGACCAUUGACGUUGACCGCCCCAUCAAACAUCAUAAUCCAUUUGGAUUCAGGGUCAGGCCCCUCCUCCGGGAGUGGUUCCUCGCAAUCUUUCGAUUUGAGAAACAUGAUGUCCUCAUCAGGAAAGUCGAACCUCAUAGGUUGGUAAUCAUCAAUCGGUUGCGCUGCAAGAUAGUCUGACAAGACACUUCCUUUGAUGGCUUUUUGUGAAGUGUAUUGGAUGUCAUACUCUGUCAGUAUCAUUUGCCACCUAGCAACCCUGCUGGCUUUUCAAAAAUAUACUUGACUUGAUCCAUCUUUGAUAUCAAUAGAGUCGUGUGAGUCAACAUAUACUGUCUUAGUCGGCGAGCAGCCCAUGCCAAAGCGCGGCAAGUUUUCUCGAGCAGUGAGUAUCUUUGUUCACAGUCGGUAAACUUUUUGCUAAGGUAGUAUAUUGCAUGCUCUUUUCGACCUGACUCGUCAUGCUGACCGAGCACACAACCCAUUGACCUUUCUAACACAGUCAAGUACAUGAUCAACGGUCUUUCCUCUCGGCCUGUAGACUUGCCCCGAUCUUGAUCUCUUUCUUGUCGUCUGCGGUACCGAUGUUGACGGUCUCAAUCACCUCCUGAUAAGGUGUAAUAGCUCGGUCCUCCUGUUUCAACAAUCUGGCUAACCCUUCAGGCAAUUCACAAUCUUCCUCAACCCCUUCUUCGGCUUAAUAGAUAGGAUUGUCGAAGUCAUACUUGGCCAUAGCAGUGUCGUUAGCAGUGAGAUCCGAGUGGUCGGCUCUGCAUGAUGGAGGAUCAUGCUUUACCUUAGAAUGAGAGAUUUUUUUUUUGAAAGAAAGGAAAAACGAAAAAAGAAACAUUGCCAUUUUUUUUGUAAAAAGUAAAAAAACUGAAAGAAAGAGAACACAAAAUUGUUUGCAAAAGCCGUCCUUUAUUGAUGAUAAAAAUAAUUGCGAAACGUAACUAAAUGGAUGGCCCUACAAAUGAGCCGUUACACCUUGGGCAAAGUGUAAGACUUUAUUAUGCAUGUAAUAAAGGAAAACAAUAAAAAUCACUCUUUCAGUAGAGUAACCCGGACGGUUUUUUCAGACGACCAAUUGUCGAGCUUUUCUCCCGGGACACACGGGCGAAUCCAGCUAUCUAAGUCACAGUCGCUGUCAGCCUUGUCUUCAUCUGCAGCAUUGACGAUGUGGGGAGAAACCAAACCCCCGCUGGAGAGAGUACCGGUUUCAUUCUUCUGAGAUCCCGGAGCAUACCCCAAUCCAAACUUGUCUUCUUUGAUGACUGGCUCCACAAAUUUGCCCCAGCCUUGGGCAUUACCAGCUUUAACCACUUCAACAGCUUGCUUGUAUGAAGAGAUAGAAGUCCCGACCUUCUCGGACUUAGGUGAAAAGACAGCUUUGGGAGCGACCUCACUGAUGUUUAUGGCUUCGAAGCCCUGACACAGCAUCUCAUGCAUCUCGCCAUCCAUCUCCACAUACUUAAAUGUAGACAGGUGGCUAACAAAAAUAUCCUUUUCACCACAGGCAGUGACAACCUGACCUUCUAGUUCAUAUUUGAGCUUCUGGUGGAGAGUAGAAGUAACAGCACCGACGGCAUGAAUCCAGGGCCGACCUAGCAGACAGCUAUAGGCAGGCUGUAUAUCCAUCACACAAAAGGUGCUCUUGAACACCUGCGGUCCAAUCUUAAUUGGCAACUCAAUCUCGCCAAAGACAGAUCUCUUAGAGCCAUCAAAAGCCCUUACAACUAAAUUGCUUGGCUUCAGGAUGAUGCCAUCGCAAUCCAACUUCAUUAAGGCUUUCUUUGGAAGAACAUUCAGAGAAGAGCCUGUAUCAACCAAAACAUGGGAAAGCACCGCCCCUUUGCAUUCCAUUGUGAUAUGCAAAGCUUUGUUGUGAUUCUUGCCCUCAGAUGUCAGGUCAUAGUCAGUGAAACCUAGCCCAUGGCUAGCGUUUACAUUUGAAACUACCGACUCCAGCUGGUUAACAGUUAUCUCUGGUGGAACAUAGGCCAUAUUCAGUACUUUCAACAAGGCUGCUCUGUGCGCCUCAGAGCACAGCAAUAGUGAGAGAAUGGAGAUCUUUGAGGGUGUCUGAUUUAGCUGGUCGACUACCUNAUAAGAUUGGAGAUGAGUGCGUGGGCAAGAAGCCCCGUUGUAUUUCUCAAAAGUAGGGGGUUUGAACUUGUGAGGAAUCCUUACUCCCUGAACCAGACCAAGAUUUAUGACAUCAAAACCUAAGGAAUUUUGAGACUCCAAAGAUUUGAGCUUCUCAGCAAGCUCAUCCAUACGGCGAGUGGUCUCGUGAGCUUCGUCGUGCAUAGAGAAUUGAUCAUACUGAUAAUCUUCAGUAACGGGGUGUCCGUUAAUCCGAAUUCCUUUAUUCACAUUGUACCUUCCGCCAAUACCAUUUCCAACAUUCCCCGUGUUGCCAACAUUACUCGGGUUUCCAUCAGCAUUUGCGUUACCCGCAUUACCAGUGUUCACAGGGUUAUCAGCGUUCCCAGGGUUACCAGGGUUCCCCUCAGAAUUUGGUAUCUCCACCUCUGGAUCGGGCCUCGGUUGCUCAACCAAUUCCCUCAGCUUUUCCUGGCCUUCUGCCAUACCAGUCAUCAAUGUCAUGAACUGAUCCAUCAUUUCACGCAUAUCAGCCAGCUCUUUCUGUACCUGGUCCAUCGCUAGUUGCAGACGAUUUUCCUUUGUCGGGUACCUGUGGACUCGCUUGGGACCAAUAAUGCCUGAAACAGGGAACAAAUUUUAGACACUGCGGUGACACCUGCAAAACAGACAAGGGUUAAUAUGCAUGGUAUGCGAUGCGCUGCUUAUUCAAUUUUAAGGCGCCCCCGUUUUAUUCGUGCUGAGGGUCUGAAAGUGAAACUUCUUGUUCUUAGCCCCCCUUUUUACCAAGGUUGGGGGGGGGGGUUUUGAUCUUCAAUUACGGGUUUUGCCUGUGAUGCCUGUUUGAUGGUGGGGACUUUGUUCAGCGAAUUAUGGACUUUAUUCUGGGAGCGGGGGUUUGUCGUGGUUUAAUCAGCGGGUUCGUUUUUUCGGACCAAGGGUUGAUUUGAGAGUACUCUGUUCAGAGGAUUUGCGUCAUCGUUGGUGGAUCUGGAUUUUCUGUGUAUAGUGUUUGUAUCUCAGUUGUUUAUUUGGAAUCCAGUCGGAUUUUAUGGUGACUCGGUUUCCAGUAUUGGUUUCAGAUGCCAGUUUACAGGAUGACUUUGGUUUUCAGAUUGGAUUUGGACUCGGUUCAGCGAAGCUAUUGACAUGUGCUUUGGAGCGCCACAGCUGACCAUCAUGUUUUCUUGAUAUAGGUAUAUUUAUUUUAAAAAAAUAAUAAUAAUGAUGAGUUUUGGGAUGCGCCUAUCUUUAUCUAGGGAUCAUUUAUGAAAGAAUAGUACCUGAUAUAUGAUAUCUUGCAUCUUGAUUGAGACAUGCUUGGAGAGAACUUCUCAUUUGGCGGUUAUUUGAGUGGAGGAGGAUUGGCAUGUCAGAUAUGCCGCACGUGUAUCACAGACUCAAUAUCAAGAAGUUGGUCAGGUUCAGCUGAUGAGCUAUCUGGAUGUAUAAUGGGGUCAGAGGAGUUGGGUAGCGAGGGUGUUCCGGUGUGAUUACUGUCGAGAUGCUGCGGGUCAUUCAGUAUGGAUUUAUGUUGGAGUGAGUGAAAUUGAGGAGGAUUGCAUCGUGAAAGUUUGCUGGAGAGUACUGUUAAUGUUCAGAGCAGACCGGCGCUCCGGGUUCUACAUCGCUGUUUUUUGUUUAAAGAGCCAUCCUCGUGGGACCAAAAGGGAGAAGUGAACACUGGUAAUGGUAGGGUGCAAACAGAGGGACAUAAUAUGUCGGGUGUGCUGUGGACUUAUUGCCAGAGUUUUAAGCAUCCUUUGUGUUCUGUUUGGGUGGUUUCCUCUGUUUUGUUUUUUAAUGGGAGUUUUGUGAUAUUUGUUUUUUUUUUGUGUUUUUUUUCUUGUAUUUUUUUGUUGUGUUAGCGUGGGNUCAACUUCAGCCCUUCAGUCGAGAAUAAUACGUUUACCACUGAAGGUUUGGCAUUAUUACGGGAUAAAAGACCUCCACUGACUCCCCUCAACAGGACAUCCUAAUAGCAAGUUCCCAGUCUCGGGGUCCUCGGAUUGAUCAGCGAGAAUGCGUCCACCAGAGCUAACAUAAUCACGUCUCGGAGGAGAGGCCUCGACUGAGUUCUCGGGAAAUGGUCACCAGAGUCGACGAUUUCUAGAGGAACAUCAUGUCGUUACGGAACACCCGUAGGACAGAACAUAUCCAAAAGAAACCUCGUCUGGGUGUGGGUUUCCAUGAACGACUUAACGUAGCAACAUGCCACGCAAGCCUCGUGACUAUCCACUCUAAAACCUGUGUGUACACUCAAGCCUGGGUAAUGGGCUUAUCUCUCAUAGAACAUCCCAUCCCAAUAAACAGAACCAGCAGAUAUAGCAAUCAUACGUACACAAUGCAAUAAGAUAAAGCAGGUAAAUAAAUAACUGUAUAAAAGCAUGAACAUCCAAUAAACAAACAACCUACAAAAGCUAGGAGGGACUCGCUUAGGGAAACAGGGUCCCCAGCUGAGUCGCCAGCUGUCGCAACCUACCUGUAAAAAAAACAACCGACGAAAAAGAAAAGACAAAAGAGUCGCUACCGUGCGUUAUUUAUCCCAAAGGAGGGAAAGGAAAUGCUCGAACUAAACCUGGAAAAAGGAAAGGAAAAGACAAGGUCUCGCAACCAAAUCUUAGGUUCGGGAGUCAAUUAUGCGAAGGGAAGGUAUUAGCACCCCUACGCAUCCGUAGUACUCUACGGGAUCCACUCUUGUUAUUCUUGUUUAAAGGGUGUGGGUUUAUCUAAUGUACUAUUUACUAAAAAAGGGGUUUAAAGAAAAUGACUCGCACGGAUGUCGCAUCCACUGCAUACGUAUCUCAUCUGAAUAUGAGAAUCAGAGUCUUCGUAGCUCGACUGACCUAUGGGUUGGGGGAAGUGUGCUCGCUAAGACAUCGCGUCUUAUGCCUACGUAUCUCAUCUGGAAUGAGAAUCAGAGCAAGCCGUAGUUCGGCUAACUACGGGGUUGGUUGUGUUUUUGGGUGAACGACGUUACUACGCAAUCUACCGGAUGCUCGACCUUUGGAGACUUACUCGCCUGUAGUAGAAGGAGUAAACAUGUUCUUAGGAGAAGAAAAAUCAAUGAGUUGGGGUGUUUUAGGGAUGCUCAUGUAAAAAGGCAGUCCUAGACGAAGGAACCGCGCUACCUUAAUAAACAAGCAAAUGGGAGACUAUCAAACCAUACAAAACAAACAUGCAUAAAGUAAACACGCCAGCAAAGGGGCUCAAACAGGCAGGGGUAGGGCUUUAGUCAAGAGGGGUCAUAUCAACCUCGACAAACAAGCCAUGGAAGGGUAAUCAAACGGGCUCUUAACCACUUACAUUGAACGUCAGGGUGAGCAGAUCAGAGGGUAAUGAGGAUAAGACCUCAUAGCUCUUAACCCCGGACAGGGUGAGCUCAUGACAAGGCGUGGGGGUUCAAAAAGAUGGAACCCUCUCCACUGACCGACCGGACAAAAGAUCUUGGGCUUUUGUUCUGAAGCAUCGACACGUAGUGUGAUCUUAAAGAACGACGCACUGAAUAACGGGGGAUUGACUAUUGAUCCCUUUUAUCCGUCAAUUGCCUCUUCAUGGAGGUCUUUAGGCAAAAAGUAGUAAAAUGCGGGAAAGAUAAAGGGGGUUAAGAGAUCUACCACACGGAUAAAGAUCCGAAGCAACAGCAAAUAAAGAGAUAAGAAACCCAGAGAUCUCUCAAGCUAGCACCAUCAAAGAAAGCGAGUCAGUACAGGUAAUCGGAAUAAACCUCCAGGUGGUAUCCCACAAAUAAAGUGGAACACCAGGCAAGCCAUCUCUGCAAGAGUCAUAUGAGCCCUCACAAAACAAAACUCAACAAACAGGUUAGAGAAACAAGAUAGGGUAAUCAAGAGUUGCCCCCAAAUCAAAAUGUAACCACAUGAAUCAUGCCAUUAAAAUUCACAAAAAGCUCACAAAAAGCAACCAAGGGUAGGAGGCCUAAACCUCUUGUCAAACACAUGCAUCAAAAGGGUAUCAAAUUCACCCAUAAUACCUCAUACAUUNNNNNNNNNNNNNNNNNNNNNNNNNNNNNNNNNNNNNNNNNNNNNNNNNNNNNNNNNNNNNNNNNNNNNNNNNNNNNNNNNNNNNNNNNNNNNNNNNNNNNNNNNNNNNNNNNNNNNNNNNNNNNNNNNNNNNNNNNNNNNNNNNNNNNNNNNNNNNNNNNNNNNNNNNNNNNNNNNNNNNNNNNNNNNNNNNNNNNNNNNNNNNNNNNNNNNNNNNNNNNNNNNNNNNNNNNNNNNNNNNNNNNNNNNNNNNNNNNNNNNNNNNNNNNNNNNNNNNNNNNNNNNNNNNNNNNNNNNNNNNNNNNNNNNNNNNNNNNNNNNNNNNNNNNNNNNNNNNNNNNNNNNNNNNNNNNNNNNNNNNNNNNNNNNNNNNNNNNNNNNNNNNNNNNNNNNNNNNNNNNNNNNNNNNNNNNNNNNNNNNNNNNNNNNNNNNNNNNNNNNNNNNNNNNNNNNNNNNNNNNNNNNNNNNNNNNNNNNNNNNNNNNNNNNNNNNNNNNNNNNNNNNNNNNNNNNNNNNNNNNNNNNNNNNNNNNNNNNNNNNNNNNNNNNNNNNNNNNNNNNNNNNNNNNNNNNNNNNNNNNNNNNNNNNNNNNNNNNNNNNNNNNNNNNNNNNNNNNNNNNNNNNNNNNNNNNNNNNNNNNNNNNNNNNNNNNNNNNNNNNNNNNNNNNNNNNNNNNNNNNNNNNNNNNNNNNNNNNNNNNNNNNNNNNNNNNNNNNNNNNNNNNNNNNNNNNNNNNNNNNNNNNNNNNNNNNNNNNNNNNNNNNNNNNNNNNNNNNNNNNNNNNNNNNNNNNNNNNNNNNNNNNNNNNNNNNNNNNNNNNNNNNNNNNNNNNNNNNNNNNNNNNNNNNNNNNNNNNNNNNNNNNNNNNNNNNNNNNNNNNNNNNNNNNNNNNNNNNNNNNNNNNNNNNNNNNNNNNNNNNNNNNNNNNNNNNNNNNNNNNNNNNNNNNNNNNNNNNNNNNNNNNNNNNNNNNNNNNNNNNNNNNNNNNNNNNNNNNNNNNNNNNNNNNNNNNNNNNNNNNNNNNNNNNNNNNNNNNNNNNNNNNNNNNNNNNNNNNNNNNNNNNNNNNNNNNNNNNNNNNNNNNNNNNNNNNNNNNNNNNNNNNNNNNNNNNNNNNNNNNNNNNNNNNNNNNNNNNNNNNNNNNNNNNNNNNNNNNNNNNNNNNNNNNNNNNNNNNNNNNNNNNNNNNNNNNNNNNNNNNNNNNNNNNNNNNNNNNNNNNNNNNNUAUAUAUAUAUAUUUUUUAAACGCGUGCGCUUCGCCUAGCGAAGGAUUUGCUCGCCUAGCGAGCAUGACAGUUCCUUUCGCUAAGCGAACCACGCUGCUCGCCUAGAGAGCAUGACAACUCGGGCUCUGCUUUUUGCUUCUUCGAGAUUAGCACUUGGGCUGAGGAAUAGACCCCACUUGAACCUGUUGGAAGUAGCUCAAGUCUUUUCCUUAUGUUGACUGAUCACCCGGAUAGAACCCACAAAGAGUCUUGGAUGAUGUUCAAGCUUCUUGGAGCUAAUCCCGAUUGACAUGAUGAAAUGCAAUGUAUGAAUGCAUGAGUGAGGAGGGCAAAUUUUAGGGUGUUACACCUAGGUGCAAUUUGCAAUGUGGGCGCCAAUUCCUCUAGCGCUUGCAUGUCCUGUCAUGUGGGCGUCAAUCCCUCUGGCGCUUGCGUGUCAUGUACAUUUGAUGUUCAGUCUCCAUAAAUACCACGCCUUGGAUCCAAUAUUUUUCACUCAAAACCAUCUCCUAAUACCAUAACUUCUCUAGUUCAACCAUCAUCACCUUCAAGUUUUUCUAUUUUAACAAUGUAUGCAUACAUUCAGAAAUGAAAUGUUGAUGUAAUAUUUUUCGCCGUUGCGGCUCCGGUACAGAUUUGACUUUGGAACACAGAUACGUUUGAACGUCUUAAUCGGAUAUUGUACAGUUGGUUAGAGGGAGAAAUUGGAGAGGGUGAAAGGAUUAGAAGAAUACAAUGGCUUGUAUCCACGUUCAACCAAAACGGAGAAGUGCACGAAUGGAUGGAUAUUAAGACCGACCAAGACGCUCGUAGGAUGAUGCAUUACAUGUUCAAAAUUGCUUUGAUGGUUGUAAUCGCAUAGUUCUUGUAUUGUGUUUGUUAUAAUUAUUUGUGGUAUUGUUUAUGUAAUGGUACUUUCGUCACAGACGUCUAAUAUGAAAUAAAUUUAGUUUUUCAUAUAUUGCAAUAGAGGUACAUGUGAAUUUAUCUGGUUGUGCUCGUUCCAACACUAUGACCGUUAUUACGAUUGUGACCUGGAAGACGGCAUAAACUACAUAGUCUAACCAUUUUGUUCGUCGUAUCCAUUUCGGUUCGAAUCUGGGUGCUGUUUGGGCGACCCUUUUUCUUCCUUCGCAUAACUUCGUUGUGCCAGACGAUGUCCCCUUGAUAUUCUGGCUAAUAAUCCUCUUUUGCCACUACGGAAAAACUAAUUUUAUAAACAUUUGAAAGGCUGGCAACUUUGUAAACUUCAGAUAGCAAGUAGGAUGGAUAUCUUCUAACCUUUGAGCAUGCCGCAAUUACAUGGGAGCAGGGGGUACGAAAGGCUUGAAACUUUCCGCAGUCGCACCAACCUCUAUCUAGUUCGACACUAUACUGUCACAUCGGCAUGCCCUCAUUAUGAUCCAGGGACUCGACAACACUAUACCAACCUUUAGUGCGGUCAAAGACCGUAACCACGUGCGUGUUUGCUUUGGCAACUUGAUAUCUGUUGAGUUUCAUUGAAACAUCACUGAACAACUGUCCAAAGUGCAAUAUUGAACUUUAUUUUGAGUGUCUGGUUUCAAACAACGCCCCUAGCCUGAAAUAUGUUGUCUGCACCAAAGCGGUUAUAGGUAGGUUAUGAUGCCUUUGAAGACAAAGGUCAUAGAUUCCACAAGAUUUGUUGUCAUGUGGCUCCAAUGCUGACCGUUGUCGUAUGCCCUAGUCCACUUCUCCAAUGGAAAUACUAUCGAUCCACCGUACUGCAUCUUCGUUUGACAAUCUUAUUUCCUCGCGAUAGUGUGUGAAAGAAGAUGUUGAUAAUGCGUAACCUGCAUUGACAAUCUUCUUCCGCAACGUCUUAUCUUUGAUUUCCCGCAUGAAAUUCUGAGCAAUAUGUCUAAUACAUAACACAUGCGUCGAAGGAGGAUUUUUCCAGCCGUUAUCAAUGUUAUUAUAUGCACUAAUGAUUGAAGGGUGUCUGUUAGAGAUCAAACAUAAGUUAGGCUGAGGUGCAACGUGCAAUCGGAGAUUUCUUAGGAAAAAACUCCAUCCCUCAGCAGUCCCCCCUUCAACUAGGACAAAGGCGAUUGGAAAAAUGUUGUUGUUCCCAUCUUAUGCCACUGCCAUCAGUAACGUUCCUUUGUAUUUUCCGUACAACCAUGUACCAUCAAUUUGUAUAAUUGGUUUACAGAAAGAAAAACCUAUAAUGCAUGGUUGAUACGCCCAGAAGAGACAGUGAAAUAUUCCAUUUCCAACAGUACACAUACCGUCUGGUGUAUACGCGGGCAAUGUUUCCAAUUUGACAAUAGUCUCGGGAGCAUACUGUUUUAAAGCCAAAAGGUAUUUUGGAAGUUUUUUGUAAGACUCCUCCCAAUCGCAAAACAUUUUUUCAAUAGUCUUUGUCCUAGCUAUCCAUGCCUUCCUAUAUGAUGGAGUGUACUUGUACUCUGCCAUAAUAUGCGAGAUUAUUGUACUCACCUUUAACGACGGAUUGUCGCCAAUGACAGACAAUAUUUCAUCACAUAUUAGCUGAGAACUUAAUUUACGAUGAUCCUACAUUGGUUUUGUCAACAUGCAUGUGUGAUUUGGACCCAUUGAUCCAAUCUCCCAAGACUCGCUCCUCUUCCGGUACGAAGUUGACAAUCUAAAAAGGCAGUGCUCAUUCGGACAAUAAACUUUAUACGUCGAUGCGUCAAUUCUGUCAACUUUGAAAUCAGCUGAUAGUUGCAUGUGGAAUUUCUUAAUGGCUUUUACACAUUCCUUUUUUGUGCGAAAUGUGACUCCUUGUUUCAAAGAUCCUUGCAUUUGCACGUAAGGAUUGUACCAUACAUCUGAUGAAGGUUCAUCUGAACCCAAAUUCAACCUUGUCAUGUGUUGGGGUGGACAAUAUACAUGACUUGCUAGUAUUGGUUCCUCUUCCUCAUCAGCGUUCACCAUUGAAUCAACCAUGAUCUCGGCUUUUUCUUCUUCGUCAUCUAGAACAUUCACCUCAGCCUGUUCGUCAUCAGUCUCACAAAACACUUGUGACUGAUCAAUGAACCGAGACAUAUGUUGUUGAUGUAGUAAUAUAUACAACUCUAUUUUGUUGUAACCGGAUUGUUCGUGACUGACAAACAUAUGUUGAACAUCGUCAUUAUCUCGAAUAUUCUUCUGAUAAAAUUUUACCUGGUUUUCUACAAACCAAACCAGAUUUUUAUAGAUGAUUUGACCCACAUUAAUGCACUGCAAUUUCUUUUCUAUUCUUUAUUUCAGAUGUGAAAAAUUUGAUCGUCGAUUUAUUGUAAACCGAGUUACCUCUGUGUUUCGAAAACAAAAACCGAUCAACUGAUGAUCAAAUAUUUCACCUUCGACAUGGGCACUGAUCAUGUAAUGUUGUGUGGAAGAAAAUUUGUUCAAAUAUUAAAAAUCUAAGUUUCUUUAUUGGAAUUGAAUGCAUUGCUAAGUUGUUCAUCUGCACAACAUAAAUAGCGUUGCACAUUAAACACAUUGAUCACUUGGUUUGUUUGUACAGACUUGACCAUGCAUGCAGUGAAAAGAAUCCACAUGCAGUAAUAAGGAUGACAAGAACACACAUGCGCCUAGGGAAUCCAGGAAUCUCUGAAACAAGGAAUCUCUGAGCCCUAAUAUUCCUAACAGGCGCCCAUUCCCUAGGCGCCAUAAAGCAACUUGGGAGCCAAGAGAAAGAGCGCCCUGUAAGACCCCAAUUUUGACCCUAAGAUCCCUCAUGCAUUCUCAUCAUAUGCAUUAGCAUUGAGAUCAUACCUUGGCAUCCUCCUUACCCCUCCUUCAUUGGGUUUAUUUUGGGAGAGAUCACCAAGCACUAUAUGAUUGUAUCAUACUUGUAUUUUAUCAUUUUCACUAACCAAAAUACCAAAAAUAUAUCUUUGUAUUUGCCUAACUCUUUUGUAGGUAGGGCAUGAUCCCAUUGAUCUAUCAAGUUCACAUCUAGGGUUUGAGGCCCUCAUGAACAAAGAACACAACCAUGAAUUGAUCCAAUAAUGGUUAUGAGAAUCAUAUAUGAGUUCCAUUGAUUCCUACAUGUUAUAUUGAUCAAGUUUCCUUCAAGAGUUUGAGGGUGAUUUGCCUUGGAAACCCUAGUUUGACUAGGUAUCUUGAGUAACUUCUCCAACAAGCUAUCUCACCAAUUGAUCAAAUUUCUCAAGGGACAUUUCAAAAUUCAUCAUCUUAUGCAUAUAUGAUCUACCAUGAGCCUAGAAAGUCAAAGGAAUUGAAGAUUAGCAAGUUGGUUGAUGGUGGUUGGCCAGAUGAAUUCAUCUGAUCAAAACUGGGUCUCUCUAGACCCUAUCUCCUACAAUUUUUACCAUAUGAAAAUGAUUCCAAGAGAAACCUUACUAUAAAUGACAUUCCAAACAACUUUCAUGUUGAUACCUAGAGCUAGUUUUGCUUGGAAAAUCAUUUUCUAUGUUGAAACAUUAUAGGUCAUUUUGUCUAAACCCUAAUUUGAAAGUAAACUUCCCAAAGCCAUAACUUGCUCAAUUUUUAUGAUAUGAAAGAUUUAAAAGUUGCAAAAUCCAAUUAAAUAUGUCUACUUUAACUUUGAUGUUUGGAGUGAGAGAUAAUUCAACUUUUAUGAGCAUGUGAUAUGAGGCUACAUUAUAGGUCACUUUUGACCUAUACCAUUGAACAAGUGAUUUUUCAAAACUUCAAAAAUGCAUAACUCUAUCAUUUAAAAUCCAAAUGACAUGAAAUUGGUGAUCAUUUUGAAGGUCUUUGAAAUAUCUACUAUUUUUAUGAAGACACUUUUCUCAUUUGAAAUUUCCAAACUUCCACCUCAAAAUUCAUCAUGAUACAAGCUUCAAAUGGAAAAGUGUUGAACAUGAAAGUUGUUCCUCUUGAUCUCACCUUUCUAAAAAGUCCAAGUUCAUCCAUUUUGGACAAGAAUUGAAUAGGAUGUGCAUGUCUUGAACAUGGUAUCAUCAUUUGGCAAAGAUCAAACUUCAAAUCUUCAUGUACACUUGCCUAGCAAUCCAAGUUGAUUUCAGACUCUCUCACACUCAUUUGUGGACCUAAAGCAAUGAUUUCAUGGGCCUGUACACGCCCAUGCACCCAUGCAUCAUCCAUUGCAAAUUUUAGAAAGUGAUUUGGAAGGUGCAAUUAUCACUUGAUCUAGCUAUAAAUAGAGCUCCAUAUGCUCAGAAUUCAAGGGACAUUCGCGCCAGCUUUGAUCCUAAACCCCUAACCCUUCCAUUUGAGAGGACAAUCUUGAGAGUUUCAUCUUGAAAUUGAGUUUGAAUCUCACUGUUUUGAGAUUCAAAACUCCAGGGAUCCAAGACCUUUUGUGCAUUUCAUUCUACUUCUGCAAGCAUUCUGAGUGAGAUCAAGCACGAGCCAAGGCAAGAACAGUUGAAUCCAGACCUGCAUUGAAGGUAUUUUCCAGAAAAUUUCAUCUCUUCGAUUCUCUCUCAAUCUUGCUCAAUUCUCUUGAUUCUUUGGUUGUCUUAAGUCCUACCAAUGUAGGCAAGAAGAUUGAGUUACUUAGAGGUCAAAUCGAAGCAACUCAGUUGACAUACCUCAAAAUUCAACUCCUCAUAUCUUUCUAUAUAUGAGCAGUUAGUUAAAAUUGAGGUCAGAUUCGUGCUCUAUGCCAUUUUUCUUUUAGAUAAUGUUCUCCUUUUUCAUUUUUUUUAAUUGUGAUGAGUGAACCAGUCCGGCCAGGGUCACCGGAGAAGAUGAUCAGCCUUUGGACGUCGGUGAUGUGUUGGCACGGUUCAGAGUCAUUGAUCUCUUUUAAAUUGUUUUAAUCUCGUGCGUUGUUUUUAAUUACCAUACAUGUGCUCAAGUCUACCAUAGAACGCGCGUUGGUGGCCACUUGAUUUGCCACCUCAAUUAAUGAGGGAGAUCAAAUGGUCCACGUUUUUCUGAUUAUUUGAAUUUCAUUUUAAUUGCUUUAUUUUUAUUAAUUCAUAUUAAUUUUAAUAUUGAUCCAAAAAAUAUGAGAGUUUCACCAAAAAAAUUCAAAUAAUUUCCCCUUUCAUAUUCUGAAUUAAAAUUAUUUUUUGGAUCAUUAUUAAUAUUUUUCAUGAUUUAAUUGAUUUUUCAUUUAUUUUUAAUUGUUUAAAAAUACUUUUAAGUCUUUAAAAAUUCUGAAAAUUUUUCUCCAAGGUCCUUUGACCUUGUUUGACCUAUGAUAAAUCUCAUGGCCAUUUAUUUGGUGUUUUGAUGAGGGUUUUUAGGAAUUUGACAAAACCCAUUAUUAAUUUAAAUAUAUUAUUUUUAGUAUUUUUAAUUUGAAUAAAUGUCAAAUGAUUUUGUUGACCAAUUGUGAUGAUGUUUGUGUUUGACUCUUGUUGUUGGGCCUUGGUCAAGGUUGAUUUGACUUUGUCAAGUUAAUAUCAUUGGAUUUAGGGGAUUGAUGGAAUGUACAUUCCAUCUCCCAAAAUGAAUGAAUGAUAUUAAUUUGGUAAAAUUCCUCCUUUGAUCAAUUUGAGUUUUCAUCUAUUCCCCUCCCACUUCAUCUCAUUCCCUUUCUUUAUGCAUUAUCUCAUUUGGCCUAUGAUAUCUCAAAGUCCUAAAGCUAGUUAUUGAAAAAUUAACAUGAGUAUGGAUGAGAUUAGGCCACACCUUUUGCAUAUUCUUUUUGUGUGUGGUAUGUUUCAUGAGCAUAGUCCAUAAUACUAUGUCUCUAACAUGCAUUAACACCAAAAUUAUAUUGCUCGACCUCAAAUAGUUGUGACUUCUACAUAAGUCCAAUUAUGAUUGCUUAACAUAGCGUUACAUUUGUGACAUAAAAGGCAUAGCAUUCUAGUUAGUGAGAUUGUAAGUCUCCCCUCUUUCAUGGUAUUGUAUGGAAACUUGGCCUUUUUUCCUUUAUUUAGAAGAAGUCUUGGCUCAAGGAUUCAUGCUUGUGAUAAGUGGGUUGAGUGUUCUCCAAAGAAUGUCUAAGAAAUGAAAAGCAAAAGCAAAACAAUACUAACUUCUAACCUAUUAACUACUAACUUUUAAUUUCAAGUCAUUUACUUUAAUGUCAUUUAAUUCUAGCUUUUAUACAUUUGUCAUUAUUCAUAUCAUUCUAAUUGUUUAUGUUAAUGCAAUUUUCACUUCGUCCACUUGGACUAUAUUGUGUGAUAUAUAUUUUGUUUGUGUAUACUUUGUUUGUGUGUGUGGUCUUUGACCAUUAAUGUACAUAAUAACAUUAAAAAAAACCUAAAAAACUUUUGUGUGGACUAUUGGCUUGAUCCUGGAUAAAUGGACUUAGAACUUAGGCAACAUUCCUAUGCUAAAGGACUUGGCCAAUUCCAACUUGUUGAGAAACCAAGUGCUUGCAAUUUGAAACUUCAUCUGAUACAUCAUUCAAGAUCUCUCUGAGUUCAUCUGCAACAUGAUCAUUGUGAAGCUGUUAUUUUGAACUUGUGACUUGUGUAAUUCAUCUGUUACAUGGGGAUAUUUUGAAGAAGAUCAUGGAAUGGAUAACCUUGGAUGUGGCUAUCUUUAUUUGAUGUCUUGCUCUUCAAGAUAAUAUAAUUGUGCAUUUGUGUGUUGCUUGAUCCUAAAUGUCCAAGGGAAUUCUGGGUUUCUAUUGGCAUUCUUGUCUAUUGGAUUGCUACCAAUUUGGUCAGAUCUUUUCAACUCUAAAAUUUUAAUUUUAUGCAUAGGAUUAGUCUCUUCAUAUUCUCCUCAUUUCUUUAAUCUGAAAAUCUCUCCCUCCUUUUUUCAAAGUCUUCUUUGAUUGAACUUAUUUUGUUCUAAAACUUUGACCAGUUUGCAAAAAGAUAGAAACUUUGGGCUUAUGCCAUUGCAUUUUCAAACUUCUUUUCUUAAAUCAAACUUGUAAAUAAAUUUAAAUAUACUUGACUUAAACUUUAAAAAAAGGCCAAAAAGAACUCACUCAUUCAAAUCAUUUUUAGGCCUUUGUGCCUUUCAAACUUAAUUUUUGUUAAAAGCAAUGCAUCCACUUUGAAAUUUGUAUCACGAACUACGAGGUUUUGAUCCCUCAUUUUUAUAUUGGUACGUAGGCACAAGACCGAAGGUCUUGCCAAACACAAAAAUAUAAUUAAUGAAUUCUUUUCUCAUCCCCUCAUUCUAUUUGUUUGUAAACACCAUUUUGUACCAAAUACAUAUGCACACAAAAAGGGCUCCCUAGGAGUACCUAGGACACUUUGGGUGCUAACACCUUCCCUCUGUGUAACCAACCCCCUUACCUGUAAUCUCUGACAUUUUAUUAGUUUUGAUUUGAAAAUUUCUUACUUUUGGGUUUUGUUCGUACUUUUUCCCUUUUCCCUUGGAAACAAUAAAAGCGUGGUGGCGACUCUUGUUAUUUGAUCUCUAACUUAUCCAUAGCUUGAUGAUCAUGAAUUUACCGCUACACGCCCCUUAACUUCAAAUGCACUAAGGCAUCACUAGGAAGGGCACCCCUUUCCAUUCCUUACACUAAGGCGCCAAGAGGAAGGGCACCUCUUCCUUUGCAUGUGAUUCUUCACAUGCAUGCGCCUAGGACAAAGACAAAGGCUAUGUGUAGUCUGCAUUUUAUCAUUCCAUUGUCUACUUUUGUUGUUGCAUGCAACCAAUCCCAUUCUUCUUAGGUUGCAAACUUACUAACUCAUUCAUCUAUAAAUAGCCUUUCAUAUCAACAAUAUCAAAUCAUCUCUAUCACUACUCAUCUAUAAUAUUUCUUUGCCACACUAUUUCUCUACCAUACUCAAGGUCUGCAACAUCAAAUCAUGUCUUUGUUGACUAUGGGCGAUGAAUACAGAGGAACACUCGAGAAUAUCUCGACAUUUGUAUGUUAUCUCUCUCUUUUUACUUAUUCCGUUUUUGAGUCGUAUACCUUUGUUAUUUAUGUUUUUCUUACUUCUUAUACAGCUGUUUUUGUUGAUUAUGUAUUUCUUCUUCUUAUUGCAUUUCUUACUUUUUUGUUAUUAGGAUCCGAAGCGUUUUAGAUGCCGUGUACAUGAAUAUGUACCCCACGAUACUUUAAUAGAACCAUAUAUUAGAGGAUGUGGAUUUGGAAAUCUACUCAAUAUUGUUUCGUACUCGGUGGACUACAAGUUCAUUCUUGCUUUGUUGGAGAGGUGGAGACCCGAGACCCACACAUUUCACCUUCCGAUUGGUGAGUGUACCGUCACACUUGAGGACUUGUACAUGUUGUUGGGUCUUCGUAUAGAUGGAAAGAUCGUGAAUGGUAGAGUUAACCAAGACAACUCUAUCUGUAAUAAAUUAUUGGGUGCCCCUUUGUUAGACGACGAAACUGAGGGAGAGACAUCCGGUCAAGCAAGGGGGCAAGGUAUAAAUUUAAAAUACCUUAAAAAAUAUUAUGCCAGUAUAGUAUUGUCCGAAGAUUCAACCGACUACGAUAAAAUAAUAAAAGCUCGGUGUUAUAUUAUGAUUUUAUUUGGUAAUUUUUUGUUUCCAGAAAGUACAGGUAAUUCUGUAAAUAUAAUGUAUUUACCUUUAUUACGCAACAUUAAUAAGGUAAAUACAUAUAGUUGGGGUUUAGCUGUGUUGGCCCAUCUAUAUAGUGCAAUGUGUAGAACUGUAAAAAAGAAUACCUGUACUUUUUUUUCAUGUGCGUAUUUGCUUCAAGCUUGGGGUUGGUCAAGAAUGACGUCGCUCACCCCGAUAAACGAGCGUCCGUUGGUGUUCCCGUUUGCAACCAAGUAAGUCUAACACCUUACCAUUUAGUUAAUUAUAUUUUAUAUUAUAAUUAACAGUAAAUAAUAUUUUUCACUUUUUUUUAUCUAAGGUGGUCAGUAAGGGGGAUGAACUACAAUAGGUGUCUGAAACACGCUAUUGUAGUCUAUCGUAAUCUAUUGGACCACAUUGGACAUGACGAUGUAAUACUCCUACACAACUAUAUUUUAAUAUAAAAAUACUUAUCAAAUUAUUUUCCAUCUAAUCGUUUCUUAUUGUUUUACAGUUUAUCUGGAGGCCAUAUUUGGGUCUUGAUCAUGAUGUGAACCAUGACGAUGCUGCAGUUUGGACGGCAAAGACACCAAUUAUCCGAUUCACUAUGGUGGAAAUGCACCAGAGUGCCCGGGUCAAACUGCAGUUCGGCAUGCUACAACAGAUUCCAGAAUCUCCCCCGUGUUUGGGGAAUUGGCAUCAAAAAAGGGUUGAUGCACAAUGGGAUUAUUCUGACUGGAGAGACUUUGCAAAAGAGAUGUGUCGUCAAUGGAGAAAUCGACGAAAACAUAUCUUAAACGAACCAGUCAUCCAUGGUGCAAGACCGACUCAACAAUAUAUGACAUGGUUUAGAUCGGUAACAACUCAACAAUUUGUAUCCGAGCCACGAUAUUUGAUGGAUCCACGUCAACUUGCUUCGUCAUCGUACGCCCCACAACAAUUCCCCACCCAACACCAAUAUGAACCCAUCCAAACCCAACAACCAACCACACAAUAUCAACCUACUACAUACACACAACAACCAAACACCCAACCUCGUAACCUGUUCAUGCCAUCCACCCAACAACCAACCAUCCAACGUCGUAAUCCAUUUAUACCACCCACCCAAAUACAAUACCAAGAAUCAAACCCCGCAAUCACAACUGUCUAUAGCCCAGAUGAUUCAUAUGGGUCACUUCAUCGUAGUCCCCCACCAAUGACCACCCAAACAUUCCAUCAACAUAACACCCAACCAUUAUUUAACUAUAGUACGCCCCAGGAAACAUUGCUUCGUUUCCAAAAUGAUUCAAUGACCCAAUUUGGGCAAUUAUACCGUCCCUAAUCCACCCAACCCCAACGACCUAACUACGAUGACAUGGGCAUCGAACUCCAUUACGGAAGCGUCGUUGGCCAAAGCCCCUCCGGAUAUUGGGAACAAAUGAUGACAUAUCUGUCGAAUACUGCUGGAACUUCCGCCGGACCUUCCCACCAGCCAUCACUCGAUCAGGUCAGCACACAAAGACCUCAAACACCUCAAGAAAAUCGUGGGAGACCUCAGAGACAAACUAACGCACCUGGAUGUGGAACAUGGGAACGUUAUAAUCGGGAUGAUCAUUAGUUUAUUGUCAGUCCAAUGUAACCAAUUAUUACAUCAUCAAUAAAUUUAUUUUUUUCUAUUACUAUUUUUUAUUUAUUACAUAAACAAAAUUAAAACUUAAAAUAAAAAUAAAAAAAAUACAAGGGGUGUAUGCUCCAGGAGCAUUGGCUUAUACAUCAUCCGUUGCACCUAGGCGUAGGAGCAUUGACGCCUCCUCAUGAGGGCCAAUGCAUGCGCCAAUAGCAUUGGCGCCUCCUCACGAGGAGCCAAAUGCAUGAGCCAAUGCUAUUGACGCCUCCUUUUAAUGCUUAGGGGUUGCGCCAAUUUAUUUGGGGUAUCCUCUUGUAAACCUGAUUAUUUUGGUAUUUUUUGAAUUAUUGGUUAUUUUCGAUUUUUUUUUAAAACUGGUUAUUUAAAAAAAAAUCACAGAUUCACCCUUAACAUUUUCUUUUUUCUAACCUUAUAAGGUGCAUACACAUUCACUAUAACGACCUGAUGUUUUUCUUCCCCUCAUUAUCCCUCCAUUAUAAGCAUAUGAUAUAUACUAUAUUUUCUUUGUAUCAAGAAAAUACAAUUAUCCCAGAUUGUCAAUAGUCCUCCUGAUGUCAUGAAUGCAAAAUCACAAUCUAUCGAACCUCACAUCAUUACACAUUGAUUCUUAUCCAAAGCUUCCAUGUUUGUCUCUUGAAUGCAAAUCAUAUAUGGUUUCUAAUUCAAGAUUAAAUUUCUAACUUCCUAUUUUUUUACUGAACCCCUAAUGUUAUAACAGAUCAAUUUCAUGGUGGUAUGUUAAGACAUUAUGAUAUCCAUUUUCUCUAUUUCUCAUGAAACCCCAUUUUUUCUAUCACAAAGUUAAAAAACAUUCAAUCUACUGAAUCAUAAGCCUUUUCAAAAUCUACCUUAAACAACACAACUCCCUUUAUCUUUUUCCUCACUUUGUAUACUAUCUCAUUUGAAAUAAGAACAUCAUUUAAUAUCUGUCUUCCAUACAUAGACGCAAAUUGUGUUUCCGAUAUAACUAAACCGAUCACUUUUUUUAGUCUACUUGCCACAACCUUCAAUAAAACCUUUUAAAUACAACCAAUUAAAAAAAAAAUAGGCAUAAACUCCAAAUUUUUCACAUGACCUUACUUCUUUGGAAUCAACACCACAAAAAAGCAAUUAGCCAUUUUAACUAUUUUGCCAUUUUGGUGAAAUUCAACCAUGACUCUCAAGAAAUUAGCCUUGAUGCAGUCCUAAAACUAUUUUAUCAACCCAAUAUAUACAUCAUCCGGACCCUGGUUUUGUCUCUAUUGUAACACCCCAAAUUUGAUUAAUUAAUUUAAUUUAAUUAUUUUUAUUUUUAUUUAAUAUUUGAUGUUUGUUGUGCCUUUAAAAGAAUUUUGGUGAUCAUAUGUGUUGUUGGGGUGUAAUGGUAAUUGUAGGGUGUGGCGUGGUGAGAAUAUAUGAGUUUGGUAGAAUAAUUAGAAAAAUAACUAGAAUAUUAGUAUUUUUAAUUAAUACUAGAAAUAAAUAAAAAUAGAAAUUUGUGCAUUUAUAUUAAAAUUAUUUAAUUAAUUAUAUAGUAGAGAAAAUAGGAGUUAGUAGAGAAAUAAGGGACAAUGAAGAUAUUUAAGAGAAUAAGUUAGGGGUAGUGAAGAAAAUACCUAAAUGGAGAAUUAAGUUUUAUUUAUAAAUAGGAGAGUGGGUGAAAAAUUAAAUUUAUUAUUAAUAUGAGUUUAAUAAUUAAACUAGAAAAAUAGAAUAAUCUGAGUUUGGGGUGAUAGUAUGAAUUAAAGUGUUGAUAACUAAUGAAGUAAUUAAAUAGAAUUGUGUAGAAAAUCCUAAGUAUAUAUUCUAAAAGGUGAAUGAGGGUUAGGUUUCAUCCAAUUCAUAGAGAACUUGAGAAAGAGGCAAGAGGAGAACCCUAGAGAUGGAAGAGGAGAGGAAAACCAUUGGAGAAGAGUUUACUUGCUGGAAUUCUAAGGUAAGAGGGGAGAAUAACUUUCAAUAGUGCUUAUACAUGAGGGGUAGGGUAGAGGAGUCCUUAACAUCCAAUAGUACAUUUGGUUGUUCAUGAAAUUUUGAGUUUCUAUGAUAUUAUGAUGUUGAUUGGCUAAAUCGAUGUGUAUUUUCGUGUAUAAUUUGGUAUGUGAUUACCGUUUUCAAAUUGUUAAUAUUUUCCACCAUUGUCAAAGGUUUGAAGCUUUGUGGUUAAUAUGUUUUCGAUAAAAUUGAGAAUUAUAUGUGUUAAGUCGUUGUUUUAAUCAUUAGAUAAUUGUAGUACAUCGAUUUUUGAGAUCAGGGCUUUUUACGAAGUCGAAAUCGAAUGUCCGAAAGGGCUUCUAUGGUGGUAAAUGCAGAAAAAUAAGUUAUGGGUAUUUACCAGCGGAUUCUGGGUAUUUCCUAAAGAAUUCUGGGACUUAGUGACAAACUGGCAGUGAGAAAAAACCAAUUUCUGGGUGACGUCUGUCAACCCUCAUGACUUCUGUUAUGCCUGACGAAAAAUAUCAUAACUUGAGUUCUGUAACUCGGAACAAGACGAGGUUAGAUGCGUUGAAAAGCUAAUGUGUAGAACUAUCUCAUGGUGAUGCAUUAAGAGGAUGAAUGUGCACUUCAUGAUAUGAAUAUACUAUCCCACUUAAGGUGUAAUGUCGGUGGUUGUGUUUCUAGCUGUUGAGUUGGGUUUUAUGUGUUAUGUUGUCGUGUGAUUCAUGUUAACUAUUGUUGGGCAUAUUUUGGGUGACUUAAAUAAUUAAUUGCAUGAUUACAUUGAGUUGUUGAGUGUUAAUAAUUGAUUUAUAAAAAAUUAUUUAAUUGUUAUAAUUAAAUCGAUAAUGUUAUUUGGUGUUGUUAUGUGAUUAACAAAAAAUGAUGUUUUGUAUGCAUAAAUUUGGUUGUAUAUGGUGUAUGAAUAUUUUAGUUGUAUGAUACUGGUAUGUGAAUUUUCAUAAUUGUUGUUGUGGUGGUGGUAGUUCGAAAGGGGAAGGGGGGNUCGAAAGGGGGGGGGGGGGCUACGUUGUUGUAUAUUAUUUAUGUUUUGAUGUUGUUUAUGGAACAUUGUAUGAUUAGUUAUUGUGAUCCUUAUGUUUGUAUAAUGAGUUAAUUAAAUUGAUGUGUUGUUUGAAAUAUAAUCAUGUUGAGAUAAAUUAUUAGCAUGUUUGUGUUACACUGUUGAUUGAUAAUGUGCAUUUUAUGAUUUUGAUGUGAUGUAAUCCAUAGAGGGGAUUACUAGAAUUGUCAAUGCAUUAUAUUAGGAUCAAAAGAGGGGUCUUAACUCAUUGAUUUAAUGAUAUGAUCAUGCAUCAUAAGAGCUGUAUCAAGAGGAAUGUCUGCUAGUUCAGAAGUGGAGACUAGUGACUUGUGCCAAGCUUAGAAGAGAGGGCUUGAAGCUCAUAAGAGGGGGCUCAUGGAUUCAAAAUAUGGAACCCGAUUCUAGAGAGAACCAAAUAUUUAGUUGGUAUUACAUGCAUAUGCAUAGAUUUGCAUAGUCGAGUUGCAUUGUAUAAUAACUUAUAUGCAUAAUUGUUGAUUAUGAUUGGAAACUAGCUUUUGGAGUCAUUUCCUUUAGUUUUGUUGUUUUAGUUUUGAUUAUGCUCUGAUAUGUAACACUGGGGAGCUAUUUUAUUUGUUUUAUGUUGAUAUUUUUUGAGAGGCAAUGUAUGCUCUCGUAUGUUUAUGUUUUAGUGUGAUAAGAAUUUGGAGAAGACUUGUGAGUCAAUGAUUUUAAUUAUAAUAUGAAGUUUUAUUAUGGUAUUUAAAGUGGUGUGUGUGUGUGUGUUAUUUCAUGCUGAGAAGUGGCCAUGGAAGUGUUCAACAAUCAAAUUUCUAAUAUAUUCCAAGCUUGUAAACUUUCUUCCAUCCACUUCUAGGCAUAAUAUUCCAUUCCCUCAUCUUCUUUGUUGAUACAACCAUGAAAGUAUUUGGAGUUCACAUCACCCUCACUCAACCACCUAGCCCUGGAAUUUUUCCAUUGAAUGCUACAAUUCAAUCUUGACAUUUUAUACAAUUGUGUUGUUAGCUCUCUCUUUCUUGAUGUUAUUCCCCUCUUCUUACACUCCUAUUUCCUCUCCUCUUACUUUGAUUCUAUUUAUUUAUGCUUUUGCCUCUUUGAUUUUUUCGUCUAAACUUAUUUGUGGUUCUUGUGCCACUCUUUAAGUAUCCCUUUGAUUAAUUUUAAUUUUUCUUUCAGAACAAGCAUCCCCCAAACUUCCACCUUCAAGUUCUGCCACAGCUCUAGAACAAAUUCAUGAUAUCUCUUUGUUUCUUUCCAACAAUUUAGCAUUUAGAAUGGUUUAAAGCCCCAAUUUAGCUUUUUUUCACAUAGCUUAAUCACACAAUGAUCUUAUAGUUCUUUGUCAAGACUCCACUGACUAGAAUUUGGCCAUGUCUUAUACCCUAGUUUUUAAAUAUAGAAUAUGUCGAGUCGGCUCAUUGCUCAUCCACUCAACCUAGACUGCAUAAAUCUUUUUCCAUUUAGAGGUAGAUCAAUUAACUCUACUCUGUGAUGAAAUCAUCAAAAUCUUCCAAUCUUCCUUUCUAGUAUAACUAUUAACCUCGUUCAUUUAUGUUUCCACCCGAAUUGCUUUAAAAUCUCCCAACAAACACCAUUUAGCUUCACUCUUUAAGGAGAUCAGGGAUAAUAGACCCACCCACAACAUUUUCUUUCUCCUAGCCUUACAAGGUGCAUACACAUUCACUAUAAUGACCUAAUGUUUUUCUUCCCCCCACUCUCCCUCCAUUAUAAGCCUAUGAGCUAUAGUAUAUUUUCUUUGUAUCAAGAAAACACGAUUAUCCUAGAUUGUCAAUAAUCCUCCUGAACUUCUUUCUUAUACCAUUGUAGCGGUAAAUUCAUGAUCAUCAAGCUAUGGAUAAGCUAGAGAUCAAUAAAACCAGAGUCACCACCGCGCUUUUAUUGUUUCCAAGGGAAAAGGGAAAAAGUACAAACAAAAACCAAAAGUAAGAAGUUUUCAAAUCAAAACUAAUAAAAUGUCAGAGAUUACAGGUAAGGGGGUUGGUUACACAAAGGGAAGGUAUUAACACCCAAAGUGUCCUAGGUACUCCUAGGGAGCCCUUUUUGUGUGCAUAUGUAUUUGGUACAAAAAUGAUGUUUACAAACAAAUAGAAUGGGGGGAUGAGAAAAGAAUUCAUUAAUUAUAUUUUUUGUGUUUGACAAAACCUUCGGACUUGUGCCUACGUACCAACAUAAAAAUGAGGGAUCAAAAUCUCGUAGUUCGUGAUACAAAUUUCAAAGUGGAUGCACUGCUUUUAAUAAAAUUUAUGUUUGAAAGGCAUAAAGGCCUGAAAAUGGUUUGAAUGAGUUGGUUCUUUUUGGCUUUUUGAAAGUUUAAGUCAAGUAUAGUUAAAUUUAUUUACAAGUUUAAUUUAAUAAAAGAAGUUUGAAAAUACAAUGGCAUAAGGCCAAAGUUUCUAUCUUUUUGCAAAGUGGUCAAAGUUUAGAACAAAACAAGUUCAAACAAAGAAAAAAUUUCAAAAGGGAGGGAAAGAUUUUGAAAUUUAAGAAAUGGGGAGAAGAUGAAAAGACUAAUCCUAUGCACAAAAUUAAAAGUUAAGGGUUGAAAAGAUCUGACCAAUGGGUAGCAAUCCAAUAGACAAGAAUGUCAAUAGAAACCCAAAUUCCCUUGAACAUUUAGAAUCAAGCAACACACAAAUGCAUAAUUAUAUUAUCUUGAAGAGCAAGACAUCUAAUAAAGAUAGCCACAUCCAAGCUUUAGCCACUCCAUGAUCUUCUUCAAAUUAGCCCAUGUAACAGAUGAAUUCCAUAAGUCACAGGUUCAAAAUACAGCUCCACAAUGAUCAUGUUGCAGGUGAACUCAAAGGGAUCUUGAAUGAUGUAUCAGAUGAAGUUUCAAAUUGACAUCACUUAGUUACACAAAAGUUGGCAUUAGCCAAGUCCUUUAGCAUAGGAAUGUUGUCUAAGUUCUAAGUCCAUUUGUCUAAGAUCAAGUCAACAGUCCACACAAAAGUUUUUUAGGGUUUUUGUUGUUAUUAUGUACAUUAAUGGUCAAAAACCACACAAACAAACAAAGUAUACACAAAAUGGAAUAUAUCACACAAUAUGGUCCAAGUGGACAAAGUGAAAAUUGCAUUAACAUAAACAAUUAGAAUGGUAUGAAUAAUGGCAAAUGAAUCAAGACUAAAAUUAAAUGACAUUAAAGUAAAUGGCUUGAAAUUAAAAGUUAGUUGUUAAUGAGUUAUAAGUUAGUAUUGUUUUGCUUUUGCUUUUCAUUUUUUAAGUCAUUCUUUGGAGAACACUCAAUCCACUUAUCACAAGCAUGGAUCCUUGAGCCAAUACAUCUUCCAAAGGAAGGAAAAAAGGCCAAGUUUCCACACAAUACCAUGAAAGAGGGGAGACUUACAAUCUCACUAACUAGAAUGUUAUGCCUUUUAUGUCACAAAUUUAGCGCUAUGUUAAGCCAUCGUAAUUGGACUUAUGUACGAAGUCACAACUAUUUGAGGCCGAGCAAUAGAAUUUUGGUGUUAAUGCAUGUUAGAGACAUAUUAUAUGGACUAUGCUCAUGAAACAUACCACCACACAAAGAAUAUGCAAAAGAGGUGUCCAUACUUAUGUUGAUUUUUCAAUCAACUAGCCUUAGGACUUUGAGAUAUCAUAGGCCAAAUGAGAUGAAUGCAUAAAGAAUGGGAAUGAGAUGAAAAGGGAGGGGAAUGGAUCAAAACUCAAAUUAGUCAAAGGAGAAUUUUUACCAAAUUAAUAUCAUCCAUUCAUUUUGGGAGAUGGAAUGUAUAUUCCAUCAAUCCCCUAAAUCCAAUAAUAUUAACUUGACAAAGUCAAAUCAAUCUUGACCAAGGCCCAACAACA
rnacentral:lncRNA from 1 species